GACGAACGCUGGCGGCGUGCUUAACACAUGCAAGUCGAACGGAAAGGCCCUGCUUUUGUGGGGUGCUCGAGUGGCGAACGGGUGCGUAACACGUGAGUAACCUGCCCUUGACUUUGGGAUAACUUCAGGAAACUGGGGCUAAUACCGUAUAGGAGCUCCUGCUGCAUGGUGGGGGUGGGAAAGUUUCGGCGGUUGGGGAUGGAUGCGCGGCUUAUCAGCUUGUUGGUGGGGUAGUGGCUUACCAAGGCUUUGGCGGGUAGCCGGCCUGGGAGGGUGGCCGGGCACCUUGGGACUGAGGUACGGACCAGAGUCCUACGGGAGGCAGCAGUGGGGAAUAUUGCACAGUGGGACGGAGCCGGAUGCAGAAACGCCGCGUGCGGGAUGACGGCCUUCGGGUUGAGAACCGCUUUCGCCUGUGACGAAGCGUGAGUGACGGUAAUGGGUAAAGAAGCACCGGCUAACUACGUG
rnacentral:rRNA from 1 species